CGGCGGACGGGUGAGUAACACGUGGAUAACCUACCUAUAAGACUGGGAUAACUUCGGGAAACCGGAGCUAAUACCGGAUAACAUGUUGAACCGCAUGGUUCAACAGUGAAAGACGGUCUUGCUGUCACUUAUAGAUGGAUCCGCGCCGCAUUAGCUAGUUGGUAAGGUAACGGCUUACCAAGGCAACGAUGCGUAGCCGACCUGAGAGGGUGAUCGGCCACACUGGGACUGAGACACGGCCCAG
rnacentral:rRNA from 1 species